rnacentral:lncRNA from 1 species
AAACCAGUGUGCACCAUGAGGGGAUCCAGGGAGGUGGGCCUGGCAAAUAGGAAGAAGCAAUUCUUUUCUCAGGGUCAGCUGAGGCAGGAGAAGAAAAGGCUCUGCUACUACCCAGUUAAAGAAAUGUGCAUACAUUAAGUUGUGCAUUUAGCAUCAAAGUGUUAGAUGCCAACAGUCACAGGCAGUAUGUUUAUUCAGUUUCCACUGUCUCAUUGGACCUGUUUGAUGGAAAGAUCCGGCAUUAGACCAACAAUUACUUUAAUGAGGAGAAAUAAUCAAGCUCUCCUAAAGGCUGUGAAUCAAUGUAUGCUGGUAUUAAACAUCAAUAGGUGCUGACAUCAAAAAGAACGAAAACUAGACAUGAUGUAUCUCCUGAUGAGAGACAAUAACACCACACGUAAUCAUUCUUAAGGGAUCAAACCUUAGUCCAAUAAAGACUCUGGAUCAACCUACCAAAUUUGAGGAAAUACAAAGGAUAGUGGAGCAUGUCUGCUGCACCAUGAAUGCACAAUCCAUAACAACCAGAUGAUGGGAAACUCCACAAG